GGUUGAUCCUGCCAGUGGCAUAUGCUUGUCUCAUAGACUAAGCCAUGCAUGUCUAAGUAUAAACAAUUCUAUACUGUGAAACUGCGGACGGCUCAUUAAAUCAGUUAUAAUUUACUUGGUCUUUUUAAUCUUACUCGGAUAACUGUAGGAAUCCUAGAGCUAAUACGUGCACAAAAACCUGAACUAUAUUUUUUUAUGGAACAGGUGUAUUUAUUAGGUACAAAAAUCAAUAUCGGGCGUAAAAAACCCGGUCUUUCAUAUUGAUGAUUCAUAAUAACUAAACGAAUCGAAGG
rnacentral:rRNA from 1 species